CCUGGAGGACUUCAUCUCCCAUAAUGCAAAAUGGGCACUCCCCUCUGACUCUGUGUGUGGUGCAUCAUGGGAGUCGUAUGACUCCGAGUGCAUUAUGGGAAAUGUAGUCCAGCCAGGGAGCCUGGCCCGUAAGGGAGAAUAGUAGUAUCCAGCUCCUGAAUUACAACUCCCAUAAGAUGUGUGAUGAAAAAUGGAAAAUUUUGAUUCUGUGGAAACUGCAUUCUCAAUUGGAAAAAGAGAGAUUUUAAGAGCAUGGAGCGCUCUUCAGGAACUUCAGGAGUGAAUGCGAUGGGAAGGUAUAGAGAGAGAGCAGUGCCUUGCUGUGUUUGUCCCUCCUUUUUAUAGUUUCAGUCCCCCUCUUGAAAAACAUUUUCAGCUGAGAACCAGGAGCCAAAGAGUCUACGUGGAAGGAUGUUCCCUGCUGUUUUUUUUAAUCUGUUUGAACUUCAUUUUUCCUGCUUGCAUCUUUCCUGCUUGAUGACUCUGGUUACUGCUUAAAUGCAAAUUAAGCAGCGCACACAUUUCUUUGUUUAUGGCAGAUCUGUUUGCCAACUUCUGUUUGGGCACGGCUGUGGGGUUUGGAACAUGUGUUAAUAAUACCAUACAGGAGAAUCUUAGAACUUUGCAUAGUGUUGCCACGCAUUUUAUCAGGACAAUACUGACCAGCAAGUUAUGAAUUUUUAAAUACCACCUCACAAAGUAUUCAUUGCACAAACUUUAUUACAAUAGUGUGUAGAGUGUGAAUACAGAGGUAUAUUCUGUCAGAAGACCUUCCUAGAACUCUAGGCAAGGUAGACAUGCAUGUGAACCUUUUGUUUGAAAACCCUUUUUCUUUUGUUAUCCUUUGUUCCUGUAGUUAAGAUUAAACAGUACUUUGUUUUAAGACGGCUAGCUAGGGUCACUGUAUUAUGCACUGUUCGUAGACUGCUGCUGAAGUGAAGAACUGCAGUUGGAUCUGCUGUGCAAGCAUGAUUGGUACACUGGGUACUGUGGCCUGGGAACUGGUGUAAGAGUGGAAGAAUCACAGGGUUCCACAUUGGAAAAGUAAAGGCACAAGGCCUGAGGCCAAGGGGAUAGACUUGGAGAGAUGAGAGAGGGGUCAGGGAUGCUCCUGUUACUGUGACAGAGUAGUUAGAAGAACGCAGUCAGUGUAGGUAGUUAAGUUGACUUAUUUAAAACCAUUCCAGUUAAAGACAGAGCAACCUUUAAAUAGUAUGUCCUGAAAUUAAAAGAAAAUAAGUAAUCAAGAUUUUUUUCCCGUUUUUGGAUGUGUCAUAAAUAUAAAGGGAAGGGUAAACACCUUUAAAUCCCUCCUGGCCAG